CAUAUCCUGCCUUGUGCGUAUGGAUUACCAUGGUUUUGAUCCUAUCAAGUGACACGGGAACUAAAUGCCAAGCUAGUACGACAAGCCCUUUUAGUAGGGAAGCCGGAACGUUUGGACUAAGUGCCCACCUGCGAAAGCGGGGUCAGAAACCUGGAGUCUUACGGCAAGUUGGGGAAGGG
rnacentral:other from 1 species